rnacentral:rRNA from 1 species
UACGGGGGGGGCAAGCGUUGUUCGGAAUUACUGGGCGUAAAGGGUUCGUAGGUGGCCAACUAAGUCAGACGUGAAAUCCCUCAGCUUAACUGGGGAACUGCGUCUGAAACUGGCGGGCUUGAGUAUGGCAGAGGGGGGUGGAAUUCCGCGUGUAGCAGUGAAAUGCGUAGAGAUGCGGAGGAACACCGAUGGCGAAGGCAGCCCCCUGGGCCAAUACUGACGCUCAGGCACGAAAGCGUGGGGAGCAAACAGG